rnacentral:ncRNA from 1 species
CAACCUCAACUCAUAUGGGACUACCCCCUGAAUUUAAGCAUAUUAAUUAGGGGAGGAAAAGAAACUAACAAGGAUUUUCUUAGUAGCGGCGAGCGAAAAGAAAUCAGUUCAGCACUAAGUCACUUUGUCUAUAUGGCAAAUGUGAGAUGCAGUGUACGGAACAUCAACAUUCUAGUAUGAGAAGUUAACGAUUUAAGUCCUUCUUAAAUGAGGCCAUUUACCCAUAGAGGGUGCCAGGCCCGUAUAACGUUAAUGAUUACUAGAUGGUGUUUCCAAAGAGUCGUGUUGCUUGAUAGUGCAGCACUAAGUGGGUGGUAAACUCCAUCUAAAACUAAAUAUAACCAUGAGACCGAUAGUAAACAAGUACCGUGAGGGAAAGUUGAAAAGAACUCUGAAUAGAG